CAGUGAUAUACAUAGCUGGGGAAGGAACCUAGAUUAAACAAAAUAUAGAGAAUCAAAAAUAUAGAGAAUCUUUUAGCUGUAAAAUUAUUUAAAUUCAAGAUUUUAUUCAUCCUCAAAAUGUUUGUGUCCUUUGACAUAUUGUCACAGUUUUAUGAUUUUUGGUUAUCAGUAUUCCACAUCACAACAUCAUGCAGUGUACUGGGAGUUAAAGAGCAAAUGCUCCGGGUACCUGUCUGGAAGAGAAGAAGAACUACGUUCCCCAAGAGGCUUUUUGAGUACUGUUAUCAUUCCUGCUCAAGGGAACAGAUAUAAGGGCGCAGGUCAUCUGACUCGGCCCUCUUCUCGUCUCGCCGUGUUCCCUGUCGGAUCGACUCGCUACUGCUGCGCCCGACUGCACGCAAGGCUUCAGUAUUAGCAUGCAGUGAUGAAGCUCUUUAAAAUGUGAAGGAGUAAUUCAGGAUGAAAAAGGUUUGCCAGGCUGGCAUGAGAAACCUGAUGUACCACAUACUACUUGGCUUCACUGUCAGAUUUUUACUGCUAUGAAAAAUGAGGUUUUUCUUCCCAUGCUUUGGAGUCUGCUGAGAAAGUAAAUCUGUAAUUAAGGCCAAGUUCCCACUUUGGGGAUAAGUAACUUAACAAAACAAGUAAAGG
ensembl:lncRNA